UACGGAGGGUGCAAGCGUUGCUCGGAAUUAUUGGGCGUAAAGGGUAGGUAGGUGGUCUCGUUUGUCUGGGGUGAAAGCCUUGAGCUUAACUCAAGAAGUGCCUCAGAAACGGCGAGACUAGAGUUCUGGAGAGGGUCGUGGAAUUCCCGGUGUAGCGGUGAAAUGCGCAGAUAUCAGGAAGAACACCUAUGGCGAAGGCAGCUCUCUGGGACGGUACUGACGCUGAGACGUGAAAGCGUGGGGAGCGAACAGG
rnacentral:rRNA from 1 species